AUACAGAGGUGGCAAGCGUUGUUCGGAUUUAUUGGGUGUAAAGGGCAGGUAGGCGGCUAUACAAGUCUGUUGUGAAAUCCCAGGGCUUAACCCUGGAACUGCCUCCAAUACUGCCAGUCUAGAGUUCGAGAGAGGUGAGUGGAAUUCCUAGUGUAGAGGUGAAAUUCGUAGAUAUUAGGAAGAACACCAGUGGCGAAGGCGGCUCACUGGCUCGAUACUGACGCUGAGGUGCGAAAGCGUGGGGAGCAAACAGGAUUAGAAACCCCGGUAGUCC
rnacentral:rRNA from 1 species